rnacentral:rRNA from 1 species
UGCAGUCGAACGCUGAAGCUUGGGUGUUUUUCAUCUGGGUGGAUGAGUGGCGAACGGGUGAGUAAUACGUGAGUAACCUGCCCUUGACUCUGGGAUAAGCCUGGGAAACUGGGUCUAAUACUGGAUACUACGUGCCCUCGCAUGGGGGUGUGUGGAAAGGGUUUUACUGGUUUUGGAUGGGCUCACGGCCUAUCAGCUUGUUGGUGGGGUAAUGGCCUACCAAGGCGACGACGGGUAGCCGGCCUGAGAGGGUGACCGGCCACACUGGGACUGAGACACGGCCCAGACUCCUACGGGAGGCAGCAGUGGGGAAUAUUGCACAAUGGGCGAAAGCCUGAUGCAGCGACGCCGCGUGAGGGAUGACGGCCUUCGGGUUGUAAACCUCUUUCAGCACGGAAGAAGCGAAAGUGACGGUACGUGCAGAAGAAGCGCCGGCUAACUACGUGCCAGCAGCCGCGGUAAUACGUAGGGCGCAAGCGUUGUCCGGAAUUAUUGGGCGUAAAGAGCUCGUAGGCGGUUUGUCGCGUCUGCUGUGAAAGCCCGGGGCUUAACCCCGUGGUGUGCAGUGGGUACGGGCAGACUAGAGUGCAGUAGGGGAGACUGGAAUUCCUGGUGUAGCGGUGAAAUGCGCAGAUAUCAGGAGGAACACCGAUGGCGAAGGCAGGUCUCUGGGCUGUUACUGACGCU